GAGGGGGGCACGCGACGGUGACGGUAUUAACGGGGGUCGGGCUCCUCCCGGGGCGCUCGCGGUGGGAGGGGGGUGAGUAGGGGAUAGAGGUGUUAUUGUGUGGGCGAGGAGUGUGUUCGUUUCAGCUCGUUCAACUCGGCUCGCGCCCUCCCAUGUCUCUCGCUGCGUGCGGCUGAUUGGCGCGUGCGUCGGGAGGUGAGAAAAGGAAGAACCCCCGCCGAUCAUUGGAUUAGAAUCACCAGACACGAGAGAGAUGGAGGGAGGGAGGGGAUAGAACGGAAAAAUGAAACAUAGGUAGAUGGAGGGCGAGAGCGGCAGAGAUGGUGAAAGGGAAUGUGCGGAGGCCCGGAGGAGAAGGGAUGACAGAGGCCCAGAGAGGAAGGGAUGACAGAGGCCCAGAGAGGAAGGGAUGACAGAGGCCCGGAGAGGAAGGGAUGACAGAGGCCCAGAGAGGAAGGGAUGACAGAGGCCCGGAGAGGAAGGGAAGACAGAGGCCCAGAGAGGAAGGGAAGACAGAGGCCCAGAGAGGAAGGGAUGACAGAGGCCCAGAGAGGAAGGGAUGACAGAGGCCUGGAGAGGAGGGAUGACAGAGGCCCAGAGAGGAAGGGAUGACAGAGGCCCAGAGAGGAAGGGAUGACAGAGGCCCAGAGAGGAAGGGAUGACAGAGGCCCAGAGAGGAAGGGAUGACAGAGGCCCAGAGAGGAAGGGAUACAGAGGCCCAGAGAGGAAGGGAUGACAGAGGCCCAGAGAUGAAGGGAUGACAGAGGCCCAGAGAGGAGAAGGGAAGACAGAGGGCCAGAGAAGAAGGGAUGACAGAGGGCCAGAGAGGAAGGGAAGACAGAGGCCCAGAGAGGAAGGGAUGACAGAGGGCCAGAGAGGAAGGGAUGACAGAGGGCCAGAGAGGAAGGGAAGACAGGGGCAGAGGAGAGGAGCGAACGGAAUGGAACAGUGAGGAUAGAGAGAUGAAAAUGGAAGAGGGGAAGGAAGGAUUUGACUUGAAGAGGGAGAAAAAGGAGGAGAGGGAGAGGGAGAGGAAGGAGCGAUAGGAGGGUUUCAGUUUGAGCAUGAACAUUCUAGAACAACCAAAUUUAGGAAUAACUCCUUUAUACAUUUAUGUGUUGUGAUUGCAAAGAUAAUCACCACCUUUGGACUUUU
ensembl:lncRNA